rnacentral:rRNA from 1 species
UACAGAGGUCUCGAGCGUUGUUCGGAUUCAUUGGGCGUAAAGGGUGCGUAGGUGGCGUGGUAAGUCGGAUGUGAAAUCCCGGGGCUCAACCCCGGAACUGCAUUCGAUACUGCCUUGCUAGAGUACUGGAGAGGAGAGUGGAAUUUACGGUGUAGCAGUGAAAUGCGUAGAUAUCGUAAGGAAGACCAGUGGCGAAGGCGGAUCUCUGGACAGUUACUGACACUGAGGCACGAAGGCCAGGGGAGCAAACAGG